AGGUGAAACAGCUACAGGUGAAACAGCUACAGGUGAAACAGCUACAGGUGAAACAGCUACAGCUGAAACAGCUACACGCUACAGGUGAAACAGCUACAGGUGAAAC
rnacentral:lncRNA from 1 species